rnacentral:rRNA from 1 species
GAUGAACGCUGGCGGCGUGCCUAAUACAUGCAAGUAGAACGCUGAAGGAGGAGCUUGCUCUUCUGGAUGAGUUGCGAACGGGUGAGUAACGCGUAGGUAACCUGCCUGGUAGCGGGGGAUAACUAUUGGAAACGAUAGCUAAUACCGCAUGACAACAGUUAUUGCAUGAUAACUGUUUAAAAGGGGCAACUGCUCCACUACCAGAUGGACCUGCGUUGUAUUAGCUAGUUGGUGAGGUAACGGCUCACCAAGGCGACGAUACAUAGCCGACCUGAGAGGGUGAUCGGCCACACUGGGACUGAGACACGGCCCAGACUCCUACGGGAGGCAGCAGUAGGGAAUCUGCGGCAAUGGACGGAAGUCUGACCGAGCAACGCCGCGUGAGUGAAGAAGGUUUUCGGAUCGUAAAGCUCUGUUGUAAGAGAAGAACGAGUGUGAGAGUGGAAAGUUCACACUGUGACGGUAUCUUACCAGAAAGGGACGGCUAACUACGUG